GGGCCUACGGGACGCAGCAGUAGGGAAUCUCCACAAUGGACGAAAGUCUGAUGGAGCAACGCCGCGUGAGUGAAGAAGGGUUUCGGCUCGUAAAGCUCUGUUGGUAGGGAAGAAAGAUAGAGGUAGUAAAUGGCCUUUAUUUGACGGUAAUUACUUAGAAGGUCACGGCUAACUACGUGCCAGCAGCCGCGGUAAUACGUAGGGGGCAAGCGUUGUCCGGAUUUAUUGGGGGUAAAGCGAGUGCAGGGGGGUCAAAAAAGCUGAAGU
rnacentral:rRNA from 1 species